GACGAACGCUGGCGGCGUGCUUAACACAUGCAAGUCGAACGGAAAGGCCCUGCUUUUGUGGGGUGCUCGAGUGGCGAACGGGUGAGUAACACGUGAGUAACCUGCCCUUGACUUUGGGAUAACUUCAGGAAACUGGGGCUAAUACCGGAUAGGAGCUCCUGCUGCAUUGUGGGGGUUGGAAAGUUUCGGCUGUUGGGGAUGGACUGGCGGCUUAUCAGCUUGUUGGUUGGGUAGUGGCUUACCAAGGCUUUGACGGGUAGCCGGCCUGAGAGGGUGACCGGCCACAUUGGGACUGAGAUACGGCCCAGACUCCUACGGGAGGCAGCAGUGGGGAAUAUUGCACAAUGGGCGGAAGCCUGAUGCAGCAACGCCGCGGGCGGGAUGACGGCCUUCGGGUUGUAAACCGCUUUCGCCUGUGACGAAGCGUGAGUGACGGUAAUGGGUAAAGAAGCACCGGCUAACUACGUG
rnacentral:rRNA from 1 species